CAGGACCGGCAUGCUAUUUUGUGUUGGCCUUCCACCCUCAGCUGAAGAGCAAUAAAACACCUCGUUGCCAAUGCGAUUUUAAAUUGGCAUGCCAGCUUUAGUAAGUUUAUGACAAUACGCUGUACACAAUGCCCGAGUUGGCUCCUAGAUAACGGUACGAUGUCGUAAAAACACCAAAAGUAAGCAUUUCAAGCGCCAUGAGACUUAGAUUGAUCGAUUUUUAUAUUUUAUAUUGUAGUACAUAGUCUAUGUAAAACAUUAAGUUUGCUAUAACCGAUGAAGCAUUAGCAUCUUUGUUAAAAUUUUUGGGUAAAUUGUUUCCUGAUUUGCCAAAGAAGCCACGCACUCUACGUCAGAGGCUUUUGUACCUGUUACCAAUAACUGGAGGACAGUAUUGUCAUUUUGGCAUUAGACAAGGAUUGUAGAUGAGAAUUUAAAUCGUGAUAUUGAAUCUUACCAGAGAAUAAAGAAACCGUUUACCUCAACCAGAGUUAUAUUUCAUAGAAUUAUGUUGACCAUGAUCCAAAUAUUGCCAUGGGUAUAAGAUAGUUGUUUGAUUUGCAAACUGGAUUUAAAUCAUAUUUUCUUUAAACAUAUUUAUUUGCUCUCUAUAUGCUUACAAAUAAUUUAUUUAAAAAAAUUAUAUACUUAUUUACUAAACCGUUUUAUUUCAAUCAAUUAUUUGACUUUUUAUAUUUUUCAAGGAAUUUUUAUAGUAUAUUAAAUUGCGUUAUGUUUUUUUUUUUUUGUUUUUGUAUGGUGAAAACUAUGUUCAAUGUGCAAACUAUAUUUUAGUUUAUCAAAAUAGAUUUUUAUUGAUGUGUUCUGUCUCUGAUUCUUCCUUUUUCAGAUGUGCACUUGUGUCUAAGGCUUAUGCUUUGCAUAAGGUUCACCAUUGUACUUAAGUUGCUGUGGGUUUACCUGGCAUAUAAAUGCACUUAGUAUCUGAAGUUAUUUGUCAAUAACUGGUGAUCAGACUAUUUCAAACGGAUACGUUUUUAAAGGCUGAGAAGGUGAAAGUUAGAAGUCUGCAGACUGCAACGUAAAUCAAUUUUCAACACAUGAUUUCCUGAAUAAAUUUAGUUUUCGAUUGAAAUGAGAAUAAACUGAACUUAUAGAUGUGUUGAAAAUUAACUAUUUUAUAUUUUAAACGUUCGCUAAACGCAAGUGAAGCAAUAGUCUAUAGAUGCAAAUAUACUUUAUAUUUUGCUUUAGUUUAAAAAAAAUUAUUGUUACUUUUAUAUUCAUGUUGUAAUUGUAAAUUG